rnacentral:tRNA from 1 species
GUGGCUAUGGUGUAAUGGCAGCACUAGAGUUUGUGGAGCUCUCAGAGCGGGUUCAAAUCCCGUUAGCCACC